rnacentral:rRNA from 1 species
UGGGGAAUAUUGGGCAAUGGAGGGAACUCUGACCCAGCCAUGCCGCGUGCAGGAUGAAGGCGUUAUGCGUUGUAAACUGCUUUUUAUAUAGGAAGAAAUAGUCCUUGCGAGGAAAGUUGACGGUACUAUAUGAAUAAGCACCGGCUAACUCCGUGCCAGCAGCCGCGGUAAUACGGAGGGUGCAAGCGUUGUCCGGAUUUAUUGGGUUUAAAGGGUGCGUAGGCGGUUUAUUAAGUCAGUGGUGAAAGACGGUCGCUCAACGAUUGCAGUGCCAUUGAUACUGGUAGACUUGAGUAUGAUUGAGGUAGCUGGAAUGGAUAGUGUAGCGGUGAAAUGCAUAGAUAUUAUCCAGAACACCAAUUGCGUAGGCAAGUUACUAAGUCAUAACUGACGCUGAGGCACGAAAGUGUGGGUAUCAAACAGGAUUAGAUACCCAAGUAGUCCCUGAGCGGGCUGGCAAGGCGCAU